GAUGAACGCUGGCGGCGUGCCUAACACAUGCAAGUCGAGCGAACAGAUGAUGAGCUUGCUCCUCUGACGUUAGCGGCGGACGGGUGAGUAAGACGUUGAGAACCGACCUAUAAGACUGGGAUAACUUCGGGAGACUGGAGCUAGUACGGGAUAAUAUAUUGAACCGCAUGGUUCAAUAGUGAUAGAGGGUUUGGCUGUCACUGAGAGAUAGAUCCGUGCCGCAUUAGUUAGUUGGUAAGGUAACGGCUUACCAAGGCAACGAUGCGUAGCCGACCUGAGAGGGUGAUAGGCCACACUGGAACUGAGACACGGUCCAGACGCCUACGGGAGGCAGCAGUAGGGAAUCUUCCGCAAUGGGCGAAAGCCUGACGGAGCAACGCCGCGUGAGUGAUGAAGGUCUUCGGAUCGUAAAACUCUGUUAUUAGGGAAGAACAAAUGUGUAAGUAACUAUGCACGUCUUGACGGUACCUAAUCAGAAAGCCCCGGCUAACUACGUG
rnacentral:rRNA from 1 species